GCCAGUGUGGUGUAGUGGUUAGAGCGUUGGACUAUGAUUGUGGAGAGCAGGGUUUGAAUCCCUGCUCAGCCA